rnacentral:lncRNA from 1 species
AUAAACCACCAAGAUAUCCUCCUAAACCAUCACCUUGUCCACCCCCAUCAUCAACACCAAAACCACCUCAUCAUCCCAAACCCCCAGCAGUACACCCACCACAUGUUCCAAAACCACAUCCACCUUAUGUUCCAAAACCACCAAUUGUUAAACCUCCAAUAGUACAUCCACCUUACGUACCAAAACCCCCAGUUGUGAAACCACCACCAUAUGUCCCUAAACCACCUGUUGUGAGACCACCCUAUGUUCCUAAACCACCAGUUGUACCUGUAACACCACCUUAUGUUCCUAAGCCACCAAUUGUUUUCCCACCACAUGUUCCUCUACCUCCAGUUGUACCAUCACCACCACCUUAUGUACCAACACCUCCAAUUGUGAAACCACCAAUUGUUUUUCCACCACAUGUUCCUCUACCUCCAGUUGUGCCUGUAACACCACCUUAUGUGCAACCACCACCUAUUGUAACUCCACCAACACCAACACCUCCAAUUGUGACACCACCAACACCACCUAGUGAAACACCUUGUCCUCCACCACCACUUGUACCUUAUCCACCACCACCAGCACAACAAACAUGUUCCAUUGAUGCUUUGAAGUUGGGUGCAUGUGUUGAUGUGCUUGGUGGACUCAUACAUAUUGGUAUAGGUGGAAGUG